GACGAACGCUGGCGGCGUGCUUAACACAUGCAAGUCGAACGGAAAGGCGCUGCUUUUGUGGGGUGCUCGAGUGGCGACCGAGUGAGUAACACGUGAGUAACCUGCCCUUGACGUUGGGAUGACUGCAGGAAACGGGGGCUGGUAGCGGAUAGGAGCUCCUGCUGCAUGGUGGGGGUUGGACAGGUUCGGCUGGUGGGGCUGGACCCGCGUCGUCUCAGCUUGUUGGGGGGUUAGUUGCUUACCAGUGCUUUGACGGGUAGCCGGCCUGCGAGGGUGACCGGACACAUUGGGACUGAGACACGGCCCAGACUCAUAAGGGAGGAAGCAGGGGGGAAUAUUGCACAAUGGGCGGAAGCCUGCUGCAGCAACGCCGCGUCCGGCAUGACGGCCUUCGGGCUGUAACCCGCUCCCGCCUGUGACGAAGCGUGAGUGACGGUAAUGGGUAAAGAAGCACCGGCUAACUACGUG
rnacentral:rRNA from 1 species